CAGAACUCCAGGUCAAUUAUCAUGAUGACAGACAGGUGGGGUCUGGAGCUGCUCUUCAGCCAGGCAUCAUCAACAUCUACACAAACCUUCUCCCCACACUAAAAGAUAGCACAUCACCACCGCAAGUCAAAUGCUGUUACGCCCGGUGGGAGUGGCUAGAUGCACCUGUGGCUCCUUACAAUCAGCAAGGAUGGUUAAAUGAUGAGCCAACUUGAGCAUUGUGGCCAGUGGGCCGAAUCAGCUGCCAGAGUGUGGUGUUGUUGUCUUGCGUUCUGCUUAAGGACUAGUCUCUGCUGGCUAAAGAGCUGGGUAGAGUGACCAGCUUUGCACUUAUGAGGUGUGCUUUUGUGUCGGAAUCGUCUUUUUAGAUAAAUAAAUGUUCUUUUGUUGAUGUUACCCAAUCAGUUUUCGUGCCUCUGUAUCUGUUUCUUCUUUAUAUUCGUUACUCCCCUCAUCCCCUAGUUCUCGGGGACAUAACAUGGACAGUGGACAUGAAAAGACUUCUGUGGGUCUCAGACAAUGAAUCCUCAAGACUUUAGUAAUGCUUUAAUUUUUCCUCAAGCACCACCAGUUUAACAUGUUUGGUUUCAUAUUAAAUGUCUUUACUUUUGACUUAGUUAUCAUCAGAUUUUGUCCUGUCAUGAUGACUGAGUCCUAAUGACUUUGUUGAUUCUCUUCUGUUUCAG
ensembl:lncRNA